rnacentral:rRNA from 1 species
UACGUAGGGGGCAAGCGUUGUCCGGAAUUAUUGGGCGUAAAGAGCGUGUAGGCGGUCCGGUAAGUCGGCUGUGAAAGUCCAGGGCUCAACCCUGGGAUGCCGGUUGAUACUGCCGGACUAGAGUUCGGAAGAGGCGAGUGGAAUUCCCGGUGUAGCGGUGAAAUGCGUAGAUAUCAAGAGGAACACCUGCGGCGAAGGCGGGUUGCUGGGCCGACACUGACGCUGAGGCGCGAAAGCCAGGGGAGCGAACGGG